AAGAAGAAAAGUUAGUGGGUUUUAGUUACUUAUUUUGAAAUGUAAAUAGCGCAACAGGUGCCAUAUACAAACUGCCUUUUUUUCGUUUUAGUUUACUUAUUGUGAAAUGUAAAUAUGUCCCACUGCUCAAUUUUUAACGGGACUCCAGGUUUUAGUUACUUAUUAUGAAAUGUAAAUUUGGUUCCUUUGGAAAACAACAAUAACGUGUAGUAUUGUUUUAUUCAAUCAUUCAGAAUUGGUAAAUGCAGAAGCAGCAAAAUAACCAAAAGUAAUGACUUUCGUUUUAAUUUCUUAAGAUGAAAUAUAAAUGAAAACCUGUUAUACAUAGGAUUAUCUAUUUCCGUUAUAAUUAUUCCUUGCAA
rnacentral:sRNA from 22 species